UACGGAGGGUGCAAGCGUUAUCCGGAUUCACUGGGCUUAAAGGGUGCGUAGGAGGGCAGGGAAGUCAGUGGUGAAAUCCUAGGGCUUAACCCUAGAACUGCCGUUGAUACUCUCUGUCUUGAAUGCCGUGGAGGUGAGCGGAAUAUGUCAUGUAGCGGUGAAAUGCUUAGAUAUGACAUAGAACACCGAUUGCGAAGGCAGCUCGCUACACGAACAUUGACUCUGAGGCACGAAAGCGUGGGGAUCAAACAGG
rnacentral:rRNA from 1 species